rnacentral:rRNA from 1 species
UACGUAGGGGGCGAGCGUUGUCCGGAUUUAUUGGGCGUAAAGAGCUCGUAGGCGGUUUGGCAAGUCGGGUGUGAAAACUCCGGGCUCAACUCGGAGACGCCACUCGAUACUGCCAUGACUCGAGUCCGGUAGGGGAGUGCGGAAUUCCUGGUGUAGCGGUGAAAUGCGCAGAUAUCAGGAGGAACACCGGUGGCGAAGGCGGCACUCUGGGCCGGUACUGACGCUGAGGGGCGAAAGCUAGGGGAGCGAACGGG